AAUUAUACAGCGAAACUGCGAAUGGCUCAUUAUAUAAGUUAUCGUUUAUUUGAUAGUACCUUACUACUUGGAUAACCGUGGUAAUUCUAGAGCUAAUACAUGCUAAAAAUCCCGACUUCGGAAGGGAUGUAUUUAUUAGAUUAAAAACCAAUGCCCUUCGGGGCUCACUGGUGAUUCAUAAUAACUUCUCGAAUCGCAUGGCCUUGCGCCGGCGAUGGUUCAUUCAAAUUUCUUCCCUAUCAACUUUCGAUGCUAGAGUAGUGUUCUAGCAUGGUUACAACGGGUAACGGAGGGUUAGGGCUCGACCCCGGAGAAGGAGCCUGAGAAACGGCUACUACAUCCAAGGAAGGCAGCAGGCGCGCAAAUUACCCAAUCCCGACACGGGGAGGUAGUGACGAUAAAUACUGAUACAGGGCUCUUUUGGGUCUUGUAAUUGGAAUGAGUACAAUUUAAAUCCCUUAACGAGGAACAAUUGGAGGGCAAGUCUGGUGCCAGCAGCCGCGGUAAUUCCAGCUCCAAUAGCGUAUAUUAAAGUUGUUGUGGUUAAAAAGCUCGUAGUAGAACCUUGGGCCUGGCUGGCCGGUCCGCCUCACCGCGUGCACUGGUCCGGCCGGGCCUUUCCCUCUGUGGAACCGCAUGCCCUUCACUGGGUGUGCCGGGGAAACAGGACUUUUACUUUGAAAAAAUUAGAGUGCUCCAGGCAGGCCUAUGCUCGAAUACAUUAGCAUGGAAUAAUAGAAUAGGACGUGUGGUUCUAUUUUGUUGGUUUCUAGGACCGCCGUAAUGAUUAAUAGGGACAGUCGGGGGCAUCAAUAUUCAAUUGUCAGAGGUGAAAUUCUUGGAUUUAUUGAAGACUAACUACUGCGAAAGC
rnacentral:rRNA from 1 species